rnacentral:lncRNA from 1 species
UUCUUAUAUUUACACAGAUUAGGACAAGACAAUCCGGACAUGAUUGGAAUCGCUGGGAGGAUAUGCGGGAAACCCAAUCAUCCAGGCAGUUAAUAAAUGUAUUCUUCCCUUUGGGGAAACAUGUUCUCUGUCCUUAUGGAGGCCCAAAGCUUCUGAAAUGCACAUAUAUGUUGUAGUGUUUGUCUGCAGUUACAUUUUAAUAAACGAAUGUGCAAUGAAAAUCUGCUCUGAAGGAUAUGCAUAUGCAGCUAUCUAUCUCUCAAGAGAAGGAAAGACAGACAUUCAGCAUGGUCGUCACCCUGCUCACCCUGGCUGGCUCAGCAGAGUACCAUGCAUCUUCAGGGAGUUCCAUGCACUACUGCAGCAACCAGAAGACCAGGCCAACCUGGAGCUGGAACAGAACUGAAAACAAGAACCCUAACCAUUUAUUGUAAACAACUUUACAGAGGAUAGUAGCUAAGGUGAAUCUCUUCACCUUUGUCCAAAAGAGCUGGAGCUUGCAACAAAACGCCCUGUUCAGUGCUGCUGGUGGUUGAUGAAAAGGGAGAGGAAUCAAAUGAGCUGUGAGGAGAAUCUUGCAAGAUCUUUUUGUUACAAAUUAUUUUUAAUCAAAGACUGUAAACAUGCAAUCAAUUUCUGCCCUUUCAUGGAAACACGGAGCCAUAGAAUAUCUCAAGUUGGAGGAGAUCCAACAGGAUCACCAAGUCCAUUUCCAUAAGGGACCACCCAAAAAUCAGAAUAUAUGAUUGAGAUCGUUGUCCAGCUUGGGGCUGUGAACACUGCCCUGGGAAACGUGUUCCAUUAAUGACCAUCCUCAGUUGAAGAACCUUUUCCUGAUGUCCAACUGACCCUCCCCUGCCACAACUCCAUGCUGUUCCCUUGGGUCCUGUUGUUGUCACCAGAGCAGAUAUCAGUGCUGGCUCUCUGCUCCCCUCAUGAGCUGUAGGCUGCCGUGAUGCCUCCUCUCAUCUUCCUCUGCUCUGGGCUGAACAAACCAAAGGACCUCGGCUGUUCCGCAUACGUCUUGCCCUCUAGACCCCUCUCAAUCAUCAUGCCCAAAACCACACCCGGUGCUGGAGAUUACCUUGGUGAGAUAUGUGACACCUCAAUUUUUGAAGCUUAUGAUCAACUUCUACUCCUGGUGCUGAAGUUUGCAUGUACACAGAGAAUGAAGUGCCUGCUUCUCCCUCCAGAGGCACAGAGCAGGUUGCACCUGGCUCUCAGUCAACAUUCCAGUGGAAUUGUCACCUUGGAUUGUGUUCCCAUGCACUUAUUACAGGGCAUUAAGGAAGGAGUGUCUGCAGUCUUCUAGAGCAAGCAAGCGGAAAGAGAAGCACAAGUUACGCAGAAGAAGAGGACCCCCAGAAGGAGUUGUAGAGACCAGUAAGGUCUCCCCUGAGCCUCCUCCUCUCCACACUGAACAAUCCCAGUUCCCUCAGCCGCUCCUCGUAAGACCUGUGCUCCAGACCCGUCACAGCUUUGUUGCCCUACUUUGGAUAUGUUUUAAGGGCGUUCAGAUGGAAACGACGCUGACGUCAAACACAGUGUUCCUGUCUGACCGACAGAUAUUUUUCUGAACUAAACAUUUGUGGGGGACUGUGGGUAAGCGGAAAAGAAGGCACUAAAAUCAUGCAAAGAAAAGAGGAGAGAAGCAG